rnacentral:rRNA from 1 species
UACGUAGGGCGCAAGCGUUGUCCGGAAUUAUUGGGCGUAAAGAGCUCGUAGGCGGUCUGUCGCGUCUGCCGUGAAAACCCGAGGCUUAACCUCGGGCUGGCGGUGGAUACGGGCAGACUAGAGGUAGGUAGGGGAGAAUGGAAUUCCCGGUGUAGCGGUGAAAUGCGCAGAUAUCGGGAGGAACACCGGUGGCGAAGGCGGUUCUCUGGACAGUUCCUGACGCUGAGGCACGAAGGCCAGGGGAGCAAACGGG